AGAGUUUGAUCAUGGCUCAGAAUGAACGUUGGCGGCGUGGAUCAGGCAUGCAAGUCGUACGAAUCCCGGGGGGGUAACUCCCCGGGGGAAGUGGCGAAAGGGGCAGUAAGGCAUGGGUAACUUGCCCCGGACUUCGGGAUAGCCUUCCUAACGGAUGGGUAAUACCGGAUGCCGUACCUGGGUGGCAUCACCCGGCUACGAAAGCCGCGAGGCGGUCCGGGAGGGGCUCAUGUGGUAUUAGCUAGAUGGUGGGGUGACGGCCUACCAUGGCGAAGAUGCCUAGCAGGUGUGAGAGCACGACCUGCGCCACUGGCACUGUGACACGGGCCAGACUCCUACGGGAGGCUGCAGUCGAGGAUCUUCGGCAAUGGGCGAAAGCCUGACCGAGCGACGCCGCGUGUGCGAUGAAGGCCUUCGGGUUGUAAAGCACUGUCGUGGGGGAGAAAAGCGCAAGCUUGAUCGACCCCAGGAGGAAGCUCGGGCUAAGUUCGUGCCAGCCGCCGCGGUAAUUC
rnacentral:rRNA from 1 species